GUUUUGAAUCUGUCUGCCUUUAUGAAUCUGAAAUGGUGUAUGUUUGUUUGAGUCAGGUGAUCGUGCAGAUGUCGGUUGAGUUCGCCCAGCAGACCGAAGAGGCCCGGAUCAGAAAACAGACCCGAGAGGUGAGCAUCGGCACGCAGACAGACAACAGUGAGGAUGAGGAGGACCGACUGAACUCUGAGAGCGUGAUGAAGAGGGAUCUGGAGCUGCAGCAGGUGAAAGAGAGAGAAGACGAGACUGAGAGACGGAGAGAUGAACACCGGCUUCCCAGCAUGCAAAGCUGCGGCACUCAGACCCAGCAGACGAGAGAGGAGGAGGAGGAGGAGGAGACGAAGGUCAGAGGUCAGAGAAGAGCCGUGGACCCACAGCUCUCGUCUGAUGUCCUCACCACUGAGAGGUGAGCAGUAAUUAGAGCUCAAGAAUAAUUCAGGAUUUGAUUCGGCACAAACUGAA
rnacentral:lncRNA from 1 species